rnacentral:rRNA from 1 species
AUGGGUAUGGGCUCCGGGAAGAAGCAUAGCGGCAGCUUUGCUGUUCUCUGGCGUCUAGCCUUAGGCCUAGCCCUUCUCCUAGACGUGUCGACCGCUAAGGGCCUAAUCGACAUCAGCAAUUCCUGUGAACCCAUGUGCGGGCAGCAAUUUGAUCCAUCCACCGAUUCCUAUGUGGUGUGCAUGUUUGGUUGUGAUUUCGGCUUCGGCGAUGGCGUGCGUCCGCAAGCCCAUCGGAGUACUAGUGGGGAAGAAAGCAAGAAGAUGAAGCAAGAGAUCGACACCAUCCACUUGUCCAUCUCGCGGUGUGAAGAGCAAUGCAGCGAAUCAUACGAUACAUCCUCAUCCUCCUACUCGGAGUGCAUGACUAUCUGCAGUAUGAUUUAA